rnacentral:rRNA from 1 species
GAUGAACGCUGGCGGCAGGCCUAACACAUGCAAGUCGAGCGGAUGAGUGGAGCUUGCUCCAUGAUUCAGCGGCGGACGGGUGAGUAAUGCCUAGGAAUCUGCCUGGUAGUGGGGGACAACGUUUCGAAAGGAACGCUAAUACCGCAUACGUCCUACGGGAGAAAGCAGGGGACCUUCGGGCCACAUGCUAUCGGAUGCGCCUACGUGGGAUUAGCUAGUUGGUGAGGUAAUGGCUCACCAAGGCGACGAUCUCUAGCUGGUUUGAGAGGAUGAUCAGCCACACUGGAACUGAGACACGGUCCAGACUCCUACGGGAGGCAGCAUGGGGAAUAUUGGGGCAAUGGACGAAAGUCU